CAUCGAGGGGAAUUGAGUUUGGUGCCCCACCCCUUAGGCUUUGCACCCCACUUUAUUAAAUACGGAAUUUAAAGUUCCGUAUUAAUACGGAAAAUAAAAUUCCGUAUCUGUUUUAGUAUAUAAUGAGUGGUUGAAAAUGUGACACGCAUGCUUAAAUACAGUACGGAAUUUUAAGUUCCGUAUUCAAUAGGGAGAAUACGGAAUUUUAAAUUCCGUAUUUGAUAAAGUGGGGUGCCAAGCCCCAUAGGUGGGGUGUCAAACCCAACUCCCCUCAUCGAGACAUAGAAUAGAAUUAUAGAUCAACCUCAGAGUCCAGGAUCAGCAAUUGUCCUACGCCUCCGCCUCCCUAUGUCCUCGGCGUAGCCACACUUCCGCUCCUCGCUCCAUCGCUCUAUCGCCUCAGAUCAAUUCCACUCCUUCGACAUUCCUAGCCUGCCAAAAUAAAAUCUACACUGCUUAUGUUUCUUUUCUCUGUGAUUGCGAUUGCAUGCUUCUCAUCUUCCGUGGCUUGCAUGACUGUCUGUUUCAAAAUUGUAUAAUAUGGGUCAUUUCUUAAUGUUACACCAAUAGGACUAUUAUAAUCCAACGAACGGGGCAGCUAUUCCAAUAUGGGUGCCAGAUUAUGUUUUGGGGAGAUUAAGGAGCAAGAUAGAGAGAGAGGUUAAAGAGACGCAUGGAGAUGGUUGCCAAGAAACCAGAUACAUAAAUUGCGCAUAUGGUAGAGAUGCUUCAAUGUCUUGGUGGUUGUAAUCUGAAAUUUCCCAUGACAGAAUGCUGACAUCGGCAGAGCCAAGACAACAUGCAUCAUUUUGAUGAAGAAGAAAUCAACGACACAGAUGACAUUACUUCAGUUGAUGAAGAACAAAUUUUGAUUCAAACCUUGAGGACAAACACAUCUAAGAGAACCAAAGUUAGCAAUACAAACACCACUAGGAAGCCAAAAGGAAUAACAAGACAAUAAAAAUUAGAAAGAGCAAAUCCAUGCGUAGCUUAUAUUUCAUUUCCUGCACUCUACAUCAUGUAUUUGACUAUUUUAUUUCUAAAUCAAAAGCUUAGCUUAUUUACAUCAUGGUCAAAUAAUGGUUACCUUAGAUUUGAAAAUUACCACUCAUGUGUGAAUUGGAAAGAAAAACCACCACUGAUGCAUAAGAUGUAAUAGUAAUACUUAAACUCUACUAAUG